GAUGAACGCUGGCGGCGUGCCUAAUACAUGCAAGUCGAGCGAACGGACGAGAAGCUUGCUUCUCUGAUGUUAGCGGCGGACGGGUGAGUAACACGUGGAUAACCUACCUAUAAGACUGGGAUAACUUCGGGAAACCGGAGCUAAUACCGGAUAAUAUUUUGAACCGCAUGGUUCAAAAGUGAAAGACGGUCUUGCUGUCACUUAUAGAUGGAUCCGCGCUGCAUUAGCUAGUUGGUAAGGUAACGGCUUACCAAGGCAACGAUGCAUAGCCGACCUGAGAGGGUGAUCGGCCACACUGGAACUGAGACACGGUCCAGACUCCUACGGGAGGCAGCAGUAGGGAAUCUUCCGCAAUGGGCGAAAGCCUGACGGAGCAACGCCGCGUGAGUGAUGAAGGUCUUCGGAUCGUAAAACUCUGUUAUUAGGGAAGAACAUAUGUGUAAGUAACUGUGCACAUCUUGACGGUACCUAAUCAGAAAGCCACGGCUAACUACGUGCCAGCAGCCGCGGUAAUACGUAGGUGGCAAGCGUUAUCCGGAAUUAUUGGGCGUAAAGCGCGCGUAGGCGGUUUUUUAAGUCUGAUGUGAAAGCCCACGGCUCAACCGUGGAGGGUCAUUGGAAACUGGAAAACUUGAGUGCAGAAGAGGAAAGUGGAAUUCCAUGUGUAGCGGUGAAAUGCGCAGAGAUAUGGAGGAACACCAGUGGCGGAGGCGACUUUCUGGUCUGUAACUGACGCUGAUGUGCGAAAGCGUGGGGAUCAAACAGGAUUAGAUACCCUGGUAGUCCACGCCGUAAACGAUGAGUGCUAAGUGUUAGGGGGUUUCCGCCCCUUAGUGCUGCAGCUAACGCAUUAAGCACUCCGCCUGGGGAGUGCGACCGCAAGGUUGAAACUCAAAGGAAUUGACGGGGACCCGCACAAGCGGUGGAGCAUGUGGUUUAAUUCGAAGCAACGCGAAGAACCUUACCAAAUCUUGACAUCCUUUGACAACUCUAGAGAUAGAGCCUUCCCCUUCGGGGGACAAAGUGACAGGUGGUGCAUGGUUGUCGUCAGCUCGUGUCGUGAGAUGUUGGGUUAAGUCCCGCAACGAGCGCAACCCUUAAGCUUAGUUGCCAUCAUUAAGUUGGGCACUCUAAGUUGACUGCCGGUGACAAACCGGAGGAAGGUGGGGAUGACGUCAAAUCAUCAUGCCCCUUAUGAUUUGGGCUACACACGUGCUACAAUGGACAAUACAAAGGGCAGCGAAACCGCGAGGUCAAGCAAAUCCCAUAAAGUUGUUCUCAGUUCGGAUUGUAGUCUGCAACUCGACUACAUGAAGCUGGAAUCGCUAGUAAUCGUAGAUCAGCAUGCUACGGUGAAUACGUUCCCGGGUCU
rnacentral:rRNA from 1 species